rnacentral:rRNA from 1 species
GUGGGGAAUAUUGGACAAUGGGCGAAAGCCUGAUCCAGCCAUGCCGCGUGAGUGAUGAAGGCCUUAGGGUUGUAAAGCUCUUUCAGCGGGGAAGAUAAUGACGGUACCCGCAGAAGAAGCCCCGGCUAACUUCGUGCCAGCAGCCGCGGUAAUACGAAGGGGGCUAGCGUUGUUCGGAAUCACUGGGCGUAAAGCGCGUGUAGGCGGAUCGUUAAGUCGGGGGUGAAAUCCUGAGGCUCAACCUCAGAACUGCCUUCGAUACUGGCGAUCUUUGAGUCCGGGAGAGGUGAGUGGAACUCCUAGUGUAGAGGUGAAAUUCGUAGAUAUUAGGAAGAACACCAGUGGCGAAGGCGGCUCACUGGCCCGGUACUGACGCUGAUAUGCGAAAGCGUGGGGAGCAAACAGGAUUAGAUACCCCAGUAGUCC